UAGUUUUUUAAUUGAAGGCUAGAAUGAAUGGUUGGACAAGAAAUAAUCUGUCUUAAUUAAAGAUAUUGAAUUUAACUUUUAAGUGAGAAGGCUUAAAUGAUCUAAAGGGACGAUAAGACCCUAUAAAACUUUAUAUUUAAGAGUAGAAAUUAGUUUUAUUUAAAGAUUACUAUUAUAUAAUAUUUGGUUGGGGCGACAGGGAUAAAAUAGAGAGUAACUGUCUUUUUUUAUUUACAAUAAUAUUUGGGCUUAUGAUCCUAAAAUGGAUUUAAAGAUUAAGUUACUUUAGGGAUAACAGCGUUAUUUUCUUUAAGAGUUCUUAUCGACAGGAAAGUUUGCGACCUCGAUGUUGAAUUAAAGGUUCUUUAUAGAGUAGAGACUAUAAUAGAAAGGUCUGUUCGACCUUUAAAAUUUUACAUGAUUUGAGUUCAGACCGGUGUGAGCCAGGU
rnacentral:rRNA from 1 species